rnacentral:rRNA from 2 species
UACGUACUGUGCGAACGUUAUUCGGAAUCACUGGGCUUAAAGGGUGUGUAGGCGGCCAGCUAAGUAGGGUGUGAAAGGCCUCGGCUCAACCGAGGCAUUGCGCUCUAAACUGACUGGCUUGAGUGAGAUAGGGGUGUGCGGAACUUCCAGUGGAGCGGUGAAAUGUGUUGAUAUUGGAAGGAACGCCGGUGGCGAAAGCGGCACACUGGGUCUUGUCUGACGCUGAGACACGAAAGCCAGGGGAGCGAACGGG